rnacentral:rRNA from 1 species
GCUCAGAACUUAAAGGAAUUGACGGGGCCCGGCACAAGCGGUGGAGUAUGUGGUUUAAUUCGAUGCAACGCGAAGAACCUUACCUGGUCUUGACAUCCCGGAGACCCUUAGGAAACUAGGGGGUGGCUUCCAUCUGGAAGAAUCUGGAGACAGGUGCUGCAUGGCUGUCGUCAGCUCGUGUCGUGAGAUGUUGGGUUAAGUCCCGCAACGAGCGCAACCCUUGCCUUUAGUUGCCAGCAGUUCGGCUGGGCACUCUAAAGGGACUGCCGGUGUUAAACCGGAGGAAGGUGGGGAUGACGUCAAGUCCUCAUGGCCUUUAUGACCAGGGCUACACACGUACUACAAUGGCCGAUACAAAGGGCAGCGACACUGCGAGGUGAAGCCAAUCCCGUAAAAUCGGUCUCAGUCCGGAUUGGAGUCUGCAACUCGACUCCAUGAAGUUGGAAUCGCUAGUAAUCGUGGAUCAGCAUGCCACGGUGAAUACGUUCCCGGGCCUU